rnacentral:lncRNA from 1 species
GGAACGUGUCCUCAUGCUGAGUGGAUUGUCUUGUGUUAGCCUCAGUUGUGGAUGAAAUCUUGGAGAGGUGAGGUCCUUGGCCAAGGUCCCUCUGCAGGGCGGAGCUGACUUCCAAGCCCACUUCCCACCCUUCUUUUUCUGCUUUGAUCUCAGCCAGGUGGAAUGCGAUGACGCCAUUAGCCAGUUGUGUGAUGGCUUUUUUUUGGUGGGGUGGGGGGGAGUCUUCCUUCUUCUAAGGCUGGCACUGAACUGUAAGGAGAUCCCUUUAGGAGUACCCCCAAAAGGACCCGUUCUCUGGUGUGACAAAUAGAAUUUUAACUCACGGGGUCUUCUUGCAGGCUACGGGGCGUGGAGUGCUGGACCUGCCAACACCCAGGGUGCAUAUGGAACUGGUGUGGCCAGCUGGCAAGGUUAUGAAAACUACAAUUACUACGGCGCCCAGAACACCAGUGUCACCACAAGCGCAACCUACAGCUACGGCCCAGCCUCGUGGGAGGCCGCCAAGGCCAAUGAUGGCGGCCUGGCGGCCGGGGCCCCUGCCAUGCACAUGGCCUCUUACGGCCCAGAGCCAUGCACCGACAAUUCCGACUCCCUCAUUGCCAAGAUAAACCAGCGUUUGGACAUGAUGUCCAAGGAAGGAGGCAG